AUUGGAUUGAGAACAACGUACAAACCUUAUCGAUAAACAAUUGGAGGGCAAGUCUGGUGCCAGCAGCCGCGGUAAUUCCAGCUCCAAUAGCGUAUAUUAACGUUGUUGCAGUUAAAAAGCUCGUAGUUGAAAUGAAGGGUAGUUGUGUAAUGAAUACAUUCGUGUAUUUUGUUAUUCUACUACCCUCCUUCUAAAUUCGAUAUAUGAGUAUUAAUUUACUUGUAUAUGGUUUUAGACSUUUACUGUGAGAAAAUUAGAGUGUUCAAAGCAGGCAUUUGCUUGAAUAUAUUAGCAUGGAAUAAUCAUGUAUGAUUUUCAUGAUGUAUUUGAUUGGUUUGGUUCAUGAGAAUAAGAUUAAAAGGGACAGUUGGGGGUAUUCAUAUUCAAUAGUCAGAGGUGAAAUUCUCGGAUUUAUGGAAGAUGAACAAGUGCGAAAGCAUUUACCAAGGAUGUUUUCAUUAAUCAAGAACGAAAGUUAGGGGAUCGAAGAGGAUUAGAUACCCUCGUA
rnacentral:rRNA from 1 species